GAUGCAUCUCCGCCAUCUCUUCUAUCCCCCUCACGUCAUCUUCUUGCUUGGAGCUCCAUUGCAGCAGCCGUGAAGCUCCUACCUGAAGAAAACACACACCAUUCGAAAGUCCCUUUUCAUAUUUUUGUGGCAUCUUUUAAAAUCGAGGGAAUCAGAGGCUCCUCUCCAUAGGCCUCAAUGCAGGAAAAUUGCUGUGUAGCUAAAUUUUCAUAUCAAAUCCAAGGAUUGUCAGUAUUUUCUUUACUUUUAGUUGACCCUUUAUUUCAUUUGUUUGAUGUAAAUGUGAAAGGCCAUUUCUAAGUCAAUAUCUCCAAGGCUAUGUUCUACUAAUUUUAGUUUUGCAGAUUUUUUUGGGUAUUUAAAGCAGGAAACAAUUACAAAAUCCGUCACUCAGAUUGUGCAAGAACAACAUGGAAAGUUUGGGCACGAAUUCUUGGUUCAUUUAGUAAAUGGGAUCAUAAUACACCACCACACUCCUCAGCCGAUGUCCAUGGUGGCUCACCAUGACAGAACUCACUCUAGCUUAUGUCCAGAUGCAUUGAGGUUGGAAAGUUUUGAGCUUGUGCAACCCAGCUCCCUUGCAAGCCAACACAGGCCUGGAUGGAAAACGUGUGACAUCCAAGCUGUCCAUCAGGUGGGUCCCCACUUCUCGAUGCCAUAUCCCAAAAAUCAGGCGAGUCCACUCCAUGGAAGGAUCACCAAAAGGGCCCCAGACCCUAGGAAUUCUAUGCAGCAAGACCUCAUGUGUGUGUUCACUUGGCAUAUGUCAACUUUCUGCCUAGAAAGUAGAAACUGCAGAAUGUAAUCGGUAGAAAGCAAUCAAUAUAAGUAAACUAUCUAGUUGAUGCCUGUCUUUACUGGAGAUGCUUUUAUUGAGUAUUAGCUAUGUUGUUCUUUUUCCAUUCAAAUGAUAUCUAGGCCUUAAUGUGAUGUUGCUUCUCGAACUGUUUGUGGAAGGAUAGUCGGCUUAACAACAACAGUUUGACGGGUAACAUACCCAUGUCUUUGACAAAUGUCACUGCACUGCAAGUUCUGGAUCUAUCCAACAACAAGCUAACAGGGGGAGUUCCAGAUAAUGGGACAUUUUCACUAUUCACUCCCAUCAGGUGGCAGGGUUGACGAACAACUCUUGUUUAGCAGAAUCACACAAAGUGCGUCACUGUGUGAGGAAGCAUCCUGUACUUGGCCAACAUGUGCUUGAUGUUGCAAAGCUAUUGUAAAUCCUGCAGAAGAGAUUGGACAACAUGUUAUAUGUUGGGCUUACUGAGGAACACAAGGAGUCCGCGGCGAUGUUUGCAAAUGUGGUUGGUGUGCAGGUGCUUUCCUUGUUGGAAGCCUUGAAUUCUCGUACCAAUCAAGCAGUUAACAACAGAACAGAGCUGACCUCUUCUUUUCCAGAGUCUGAGCACGAUAGUUCAAAUCAGCUGCGGGACAGCAUCGAUGGACAAAAGUUGACAGAAACUCCUUCAGUCAAAAAAAUUGAAACUGCUGAUGAAAAUGUAAGACCAUUUUAAUAUUAUUAGGAGUUCAUUAAAACUUUUGAUUUUUAUAAUCAGAUUUUGAGAAUAGCUUCUGGUCAUUUAUUUUGUGUCUUCCAUAGAAG